ensembl:misc_RNA Y_RNA Y RNA
GGCUGGUCUGAUGGGAUUGAGUUAUCAGGACUUAUUAGCAUUAGUGUCACUAAAGUUGGUAUACAAAUCCCCACUGCUAAAUUUGACUGGCUUAAA